rnacentral:lncRNA from 1 species
CGCCAUUCUCCUGCCUCAGCUCCCUGAGUAGCUGGGACUACAGGCGCCCUCGCGCCUGGCUGAUUUUUUGUAUUUUUAGCAGAGACGGAGUUUCACCAUGUUAGCCAGGAUGGUCUUGAUUUUCUGACCUUGUAAUCCGGCUGCCUCAGCCUCCCAAAGUGCUGGGAUUACAAGCGUGAGCCACUGCGCCCGGCCUAGUUGAGGAGUAAAUGGACUGGAUUAAAGUUAAACCAUAACCCCAAAUUCAGGAACUUCUGCGCACAGUGCUUGCUUAUCUGAUUAUGUGCUUGCUUAGAAAUUCCAGAGACCAAUUUUGAAACGAAACAGGUAAAGAAACCAAGUGGCAGAAUCCUCCCGCUUAGAAGGAGUACGAAUAGUUAGCUCACCACUCUCCGGCCCAAGUCAGGAUGACACCAACCCAACAGGCAAUUACUCAAGAUAAACAUCGGAACUAGACAUGCAGACCUGCGCCUUCCUGCACCACUACCAUAUAUUUCCCAUACCUUUUCCUGCCAAAACCCCUUCACUCAGCCCAAAAGGCAGAGAUGGCUUCUUUGAGGCAGAAGCCCGGCCAUCUCCCAUCUGCUAGCAUUUGAUCAAUAAAGUUGCCUUCCUUUCCUUUCACCAUGCCUUGCUUCUCAUGUUUUUGGUCUCUGAGUGGUGAGCAGCUGAUUACUGGUUACAAUAAUAAAAUCUCAAAAGAUCUUAACUGUUAUUGUUUUGAUCAUAUCAUAACCCCUCUCUUUAUCCUCCGUAACUUAUACAUUCCUUUCUGUAUGUUUUUCUUUUUUCUCUUCUGGAGACUAGAUUAGGAAAUAACCGAUGUCCUGGCUUGUGCAGAAAACAUAAGUAUAUACAUUUAUAUACACUGUAAGACUGAAAUUUGAAACGUGUGCAUGUGUAUGUAAUAUAUAUAUAUAUAACAUGGGAGAGGCUGGUUGGGAGAAUUGGG